UUUUUAAUGGUUGACCUCGGAUCAGGUAGGAAUACCCGCUGAACUUAAGCAUAUCAAUAGGCGGGAGGAACACC
rnacentral:rRNA from 1 species